rnacentral:rRNA from 1 species
UACGGAGGAUCCGAGCGUUAUCCGGAUUUAUUGGGGUUAAAGGGUGCGUAGGCGGCCUGUUAAGUCAGGGGUGAAAGACGGUAGCUCAACUAUCGCAGUGCCCUUGAUACUGAUGGGCUUGAAUGUACUAGAGGUAGGCGGAAUGUGACAAGUAGCAGUGAAAUGCAUAGAUAUGUCACAGAACACCAAUUGCGAAGGCAGCUUACUAUGGUAUAAUUGACGCUGAGGCACGAAAGCGUGGGGAUCAAACAGG